UUGCAGGUGACAAAGUCACUUAAACAAGUCCAGCUAGAGAGAGAUGAAUAUGCUCAACAUAUAAAAGGAGAGAGGGCCCGGUGGCAGGAGAGGAUGCAGAAAAUGUCGAUGGAGGCUCCCACAUUGAAGGAGGAGAAGAAGUGUGACAUACAUCGGAUACAGGAGCUGGAGAUGAGCUUGUCCGAACUCAAAAACCAGAUGGCUGAGCCCCCAUCCUCGGCACCCCCAGCAGGGACCUCUGAGGUGGAGCAGCUACAAGAUGAGGCCAAACACCUGAGGAAGGAGGUGGAAAGUCUGGAGGGAAAGCUCCAAUCCCAGGUGGAAAACAAUCAGGCCUUGAGUCUCCUGAGCAAGGAACAAAAGGAGAGACUCCAAGAGCAGGAGGAGAGGCUCCAAGAGCAGCAGGAGAAGCUUCAAAAGCAGGAGGAGAGGCUCCGGGAGCAGGAGGAGAGGAGGCUGCAGGAGCAGGAGAGACAGUGUGAGCAAAAGGAGAGGCUUUGGGAGCAGCAGAAGAGGCUGGGGGAGCAGGGUGAGAGGCUGCGAAUGCAGGAGGAGAGGCUCGCGCUCUCCCAGAAGCACAAGUUCAACAAGCAGCUGGCCGAGCCACAGUGCAGCUUUGAGGAUCUGAACAAUGAGAACAAAAGCACACUGCAUUGGAGCAGCAAGUAAAGCAGCUGCAGGAGAAGCUGAGCGAGGAGUGCCUAGAAGCUGCCAACCAGGAGAACCAACAGCUAGAGGCCCAGCUGAGUCUCAUGGCUCUCCCUGGCCAAGGAGAUGGAGGAGGACAUCUGGACACUGAGGAGGAGGGGGUGCCUCGGCCUAUGCCGAGUGUCCCAGAGGACCUGGAGAGCCAGGAGGCCACAAGUGGCUUUAUGGACCUCCCAAAGGAGAAGGUGGAUGGGAAGGAGCAGGUGGAGAACCUAGAGCUUGGAUUCAUCCAGCUCUCUGGAGCAACAGACGGCAUGAGAGAGCACUUCACCGUAUAUGGGAGCCAAGGGGCAGUCCCAAAUACGCGGCACCAGGAGGAGGAGGACGUCAGCAGUCUGGCCCAGAAUGAGGAGGAGAUGAACGUGAAGCUGCUGGAGCUGCAGGAGCUGGUGUUGCCGCUUGUGGGUGACCACGAGGGGCAUGACAAAUUCCCCCCCGCUGCCCAGAACCGUGGUGAUGAGCCCGCUCCAGGGGCCCCAGCCCCCCAGGAACUUGGGGCUGCCCAUGAGCAGGGUGAUUUUUAUGAGGUGAGCCUGGCCAACAGCGUGGAGCCUGCACCAGGAGAGGACAGGGAGGGUUCUCCCCAUGACAACCCCACUGCACAGAAGAUUGUACAGCUGCUUCCUGUAAUGCAGGACACCAAGGAGCACCCAGGCUUUGCCAGCAAACCCUGCGUGCCAUUCUUUUACUGGGCAGCCGAGAACAGAGAGAUAAACAUCAUCAUCAUCUGAGAGCUGGUCAAGAAAUUUAAAAAAAAAAACAAAAAAACAAUUAUGGGGUUAAUCCUCUACACAAUUCAUCUACUUCAUUGGAAUGUUAGAGCCCCUCAUGUUUAUUUAUGUUUCUAAUUUACAGUUUAAAUUUCUUUCUGAAAAGUUAAGGGAGAGUGGGUCUUUCCCUGAUGUUCACUCUGGCAUCCUUUAGCAUUUUUGUUUUUAAUUGAUAAUUGUAGGUCAUUAGCUCGCAUAUCGAGUUUGCCCUUACGUGGUGGGAGUUCAAACACACAAAACCCACUAUUUGCACAAAACUAUUCUUACUGGUUUGGAAUAGGCUGCCAUGCUUUUUAAAUGUUAUUGCAGCAUGUAUAUUCAUUACAGAAUUCAGAUAAAAUUGGCUUAUGUUCUGCUAUUGUUUGAUCGAAUCCUAAUCACAGUGAGCUCUUCAUUAGCUCAGUAUGUGGUUUGCCCUCAAGUGCGCACUGUUUCUUACUUUGUAAUAUGCCACUGUGAGUACUGACAUUUAGAGUUGUUUAAAGGCCGAGAACUGGAAACAGCCUUUCCCCUAUUUUCUGUGUACUGGGGAUGGGGGUGAUAACAUUUUGGGGAGCUUUUUAAAUCUCACAGAAGAGGAAAGUGGCCUGCUCUGGCAGGUGUGUGCAGGAUAGAGUGUGUUUCAUUUGUUCUGGUGCCAGGAAUGAGUACUAUGGUACUAUGGUAGUUCCCUGAGGAUUUGUAUGUGCUCUGGGCUCAUGAAGAUAUCGCAGCAUGAGCUGCAGCAGUUGGACUCUUUCUCAAUGACCUAAAAGGGAUUCUUUCUGAGGAAUGAAAGGCUCCCAUCAUUGACUGUGGAUGCGGAAAACCUUUUCUAGCUUAGAACAUUUAUAUCUACAAUACAUUUUAAAGUCAGAGUUCAUGUUACCUGUUUUAAUCACAUGACUACAUGUCCCAGUACACAAAAGGGCACUGCUUGGCAUUCUUCUUAGUGUAUUUAGUGAAGAUCAUAAGAAACCCUUUCAGAGUUUAAAUACCCCUGGAACAGGCAUACAGGCUCUAGUCAAGAAUGAAUUCGAGUGAAGGAAAGCUGUGUGACACCUGGCAUUCCUCUAUGUUCACGGAGCUUCUUUGAGGCUAGAAGAUUGAUUUUACCAUGUUGACCUCUCUGGCUAAUACCUAUUCUUCAGCCACAUUGGUUAAUCUGACACAGGAAUUUACUUCUUUUCCUUGAAUGGAAAACACUUUAAAAAUAAUAACAACCAUUUUAAUAAACUAAUACAUGUGAGAGUAUUGGUUGAAACAAAAAGCAGUUUUAGUGGACAGUGUUAUACUACAUUUGAAAAUCAAGGAGAAGUUUAUGCAACUUAAAAUAUUUACAAACUGCAAUGCAAUCUACUGUUUGUGAAUGUCAAAGUAUUAUGAGUAAAGGUAUCUAUACAAUCACAGAGUUAUAUUUCCUCACAAAGUUCUUUACGAAGGGUGAAAUAUGUUUUUAUACCUCUCGGUUUCAGUUAGAGGCAUAUUUUGUGCCAUAUUUAUGUUAUGUGUCUAUGCAGGAUGAAUGAAUGAUUUCAGUCAUAUGUUGCCUAAAUCAUAACUUCAUGAUGCUUGGGAAAGAAUCAACAGUUAAAACUUCAUGAAGUUCUAAUGUCUGUGUUUCAAAAUACGUCACAGUAUUAGGAUGUAGGGAGAGAUGUAUGUGCGCUCCCUGGGGUGUGCAAUUCUAGUUACUAGACCAUCUCCAUUUUUAGCAUUUGGCAUCCUCAUGAUACUUUUAUAAAUAUGACAUUAAUAGGAGAGCAAUAAUAUGAUUUUACAGAUGAAAUAGCAGAUUUGCCUGCAUUCACUGAAAGAGUACAAAUAUUGGUCCUUCAACUGACUCUUUCAAAUUGUAUGAAUUUAUUAAUGUAUUGGAUAAACCCAGUUUCAGAAUGAUAAAGAAAAACUGUCAGACCAAAUAGUGUGGGUAAUUAGCAGUGGUACAGUUUCUAAAUACCGCUCUUUGUGUAGGGAUUUUGUCCUAUGUUUCAGAAAAAUCUAAAAAGAAUGGAAAUCCUAUGACAAUAACUUAAGUGUUUCUUCAAAGCAUGCAGUCUUUGCAAUACCUCAUUCAGCCAAGUAUUUGUUCUCUUCCUCAUUCGGUAUAAGGCAGCUUUCAAUCUGCUUAGAAGGCAACAUUAGAAGGUUAGAGUUCAUCAGAAAUACAGAAUUUUAAAAUGUGAGUUCAACUGAAUAAAAUUGAAUUUCUGUAGGAAGUAAAGAAUCAAAAUACCUAUUUAAAGAUUGCAAUAUAUGGUCAUUAUUUUUAAAGUAUCUGAUUAAACCUGAUAGGUUUUCCAGAAAUGAAAAAAAAAAUCAGUUCAAAAACUAAAGCUGAUUUUUAGAAAAUGUGAAAAUGUAAAUCAGCCCUAUCCAUAAUAUUUUCUCUAAAACUUUAUCUUACAGAGUCACUUUAAGAUGAUAUAACUAUUCAAAAAUGUAACUGCUAUGUUAAUGUUUUAAAGUAAGUUAAAACACCUUAAAAUAUGAAUACUGUAGUUUAAAGCAAAGAA